UACGUAGGGUGCGAGCGUUGUCCGGAAUUAUUGGGCGUAAAGAGCUCGUAGGCGGUUUGUUACGUCCGCUGUGAAAACCCAGGGCUUAACCCUGGGCUUGCAGUGGAUACGGGCAGACUAGAGGCAGGUAGGGGAGAAUGGAAUUCCCGGUGUAGCGGUGAAAUGCGCAGAUAUCGGGAGGAACACCGGUGGCGAAGGCGGUUCUCUGGGCCUGACCUGACACUGAGGAGCGAAAGCGUGGGGAGCGAACAGG
rnacentral:rRNA from 1 species